UUAAGCGACUAAGCGUACACGGUGGAUGCCCUGGCAGUCAGAGGCGAUGAAGGACGUGCUAAUCUGCGAUAAGCGUCGGUAAGGUGAUAUGAACCGUUAUAACCGGCGAUUUCCGAAUGGGGAAACCCAGUGUGUUUCGACACACUAUCAUUAACUGAAUCCAUAGGUUAAUGAGGCGAACCGGGGGAACUGAAACAUCUAAGUACCCCGAGGAAAAGAAAUCAACCGAGAUUCCCCCAGUAGCGGCGAGCGAACGGGGAGCAGCCCAGAGCCUGAAUCAGUGUGUGUGUUAGUGGAAGCGUCUGGAAAGGCGCGCGAUACAGGGUGACAGCCCCGUACACAAAAAUGCACAUGCUGUGAGCUCGAUGAGUAGGGCGGGACACGUGGUAUCCUGUCUGAAUAUGGGGGGACCAUCCUCCAAGGCUAAAUACUCCUGACUGACCGAUAGUGAACCAGUACCGUGAGGGAAAGGCGAAAAGAACCCCGGCGAGGGGAGUGAAAAAGAACCUGAAACCGUGUACGUACAAGCAGUGGGAGCACGCUUAGGCGUGUGACUGCGUACCUUUUGUAUAAUGGGUCAGCGACUUAUAUUCUGUAGCAAGGUUAACCGAAUAGGGGAGCCGAAGGGAAACCGAGUCUUAACUGGGCGUUAAGUUGCAGGGUAUAGACCCGAAACCCGGUGAUCUAGCCAUGGGCAGGUUGAAGGUUGGGUAACACUAACUGGAGGACCGAACCGACUAAUGUUGAAAAAUUAGCGGAUGACUUGUGGCUGGGGGUGAAAGGCCAAUCAAACCGGGAGAUAGCUGGUUCUCCCCGAAAGCUAUUUAGGUAGCGCCUCGUGAAUUCAUCUCCGGGGGUAGAGCACUGUUUCGGCAAGGGGGUCAUCCCGACUUACCAACCCGAUGCAAACUGCGAAUACCGGAGAAUGUUAUCACGGGAGACACACGGCGGGUGCUAACGUCCGUCGUGAAGAGGGAAACAACCCAGACCGCCAGCUAAGGUCCCAAAGUCAUGGUUAAGUGGGAAACGAUGUGGGAAGGCCCAGACAGCCAGGAUGUUGGCUUAGAAGCAGCCAUCAUUUAAAGAAAGCGUAAUAGCUCACUGGUCGAGUCGGCCUGCGCGGAAGAUGUAACGGGGCUAAACCAUGCACCGAAGCUGCGGCAGCGACGCUGAUGCGUUGUUGGGUAGGGGAGCGUUCUGUAAGCCUGCGAAGGUGUGCUGUGAGGCAUGCUGGAGGUAUCAGAAGUGCGAAUGCUGACAUAAGUAACGAUAAAGCGGGUGAAAAGCCCGCUCGCCGGAAGACCAAGGGUUCCUGUCCAACGUUAAUCGGGGCAGGGUGAGUCGACCCCUAAGGCGAGGCCGAAAGGCGUAGUCGAUGGGAAACAGGUUAAUAUUCCUGUACUUGGUGUUACUGCGAAGGGGGGACGGAGAAGGCUAUGUUGGCCGGGCGACGGUUGUCCCGGUUUAAGCGUGUAGGCUGGUUUUCCAGGCAAAUCCGGAAAAUCAAGGCUGAGGCGUGAUGACGAGGCACUACGGUGCUGAAGCAACAAAUGCCCUGCUUCCAGGAAAAGCCUCUAAGCAUCAGGUAACAUCAAAUCGUACCCCAAACCGACACAGGUGGUCAGGUAGAGAAUACCAAGGCGCUUGAGAGAACUCGGGUGAAGGAACUAGGCAAAAUGGUGCCGUAACUUCGGGAGAAGGCACGCUGAUAUGUAGGUGAGGUCCCUCGCGGAUGGAGCUGAAAUCAGUCGAAGAUACCAGCUGGCUGCAACUGUUUAUUAAAAACACAGCACUGUGCAAACACGAAAGUGGACGUAUACGGUGUGACGCCUGCCCGGUGCCGGAAGGUUAAUUGAUGGGGUUAGCGCAAGCGAAGCUCUUGAUCGAAGCCCCGGUAAACGGCGGCCGUAACUAUAACGGUCCUAAGGUAGCGAAAUUCCUUGUCGGGUAAGUUCCGACCUGCACGAAUGGCGUAAUGAUGGCCAGGCUGUCUCCACCCGAGACUCAGUGAAAUUGAACUCGCUGUGAAGAUGCAGUGUACCCGCGGCAAGACGGAAAGACCCCGUGAACCUUUACUAUAGCUUGACACUGAACAUUGAGCCUUGAUGUGUAGGAUAGGUGGGAGGCUUAGAAGUGUGGACGCCAGUCUGCAUGGAGCCGACCUUGAAAUACCACCCUUUAAUGUUUGAUGUUCUAACGUUGACCCGUAAUCCGGGUUGCGGACAGUGUCUGGUGGGUAGUUUGACUGGGGCGGUCUCCUCCUAAAGAGUAACGGAGGAGCACGAAGGUUGGCUAAUCCUGGUCGGACAUCAGGAGGUUAGUGCAAUGGCAUAAGCCAGCUUGACUGCGAGCGUGACGGCGCGAGCAGGUGCGAAAGCAGGUCAUAGUGAUCCGGUGGUUCUGAAUGGAAGGGCCAUCGCUCAACGGAUAAAAGGUACUCCGGGGAUAACAGGCUGAUACCGCCCAAGAGUUCAUAUCGACGGCGGUGUUUGGCACCUCGAUGUCGGCUCAUCACAUCCUGGGGCUGAAGUAGGUCCCAAGGGUAUGGCUGUUCGCCAUUUAAAGUGGUACGCGAGCUGGGUUUAGAACGUCGUGAGACAGUUCGGUCCCUAUCUGCCGUGGGCGCUGGAGAACUGAGGGGGGCUGCUCCUAGUACGAGAGGACCGGAGUGGACGCAUCACUGGUGUUCGGGUUGUCAUGCCAAUGGCACUGCCCGGUAGCUAAAUGCGGAAGAGAUAAGUGCUGAAAGCAUCUAAGCACGAAACUUGCCCCGAGAUGAGUUCUCCCUGACUCCUUGAGAGUCCUGAAGGAACGUUGAAGACGACGACGUUGAUAGGCCGGGUGUGUAAGCGCAGCGAUGCGUUGAGCUAACCGGUACUAAUGAACCGUGAGGCUUAACCUU
rnacentral:rRNA from 1 species